AACGAACGCUGGCGGCGUGCCUAACACAUGCAAGUCGUGCGAGAAAGUUCCUUCGGGAGCGAGUAAAGCGGCGCACGGGUGAGUAACACGUAGGUAACCUACCCCCCAGUCUGGAACAACUAGAGGAAACUCUAGCUAAUGCCGGAUGAGACCACGAUCCCUUCGGGGGUUGCGGCCAAAGAUGGCCUCUACUUGUAAGCUAUCGCUGAGGGAUGGGCCUGCGGGCCAUUAGCUUGUUGGUGAGGUAACGGCUCACCAAGGCUGUGAUGGCUAGCUGGUCUGAGAGGAUGACCAGCCACACUGGGACUGAGACACGGCCCAGACUCCUACGGGAGGCAGCAGUGGGGAAUAUUGCGCAAUGGGCGAAAGCCUGACGCAGCGACGCCGCGUGGGUGAUGAAGGCCU
rnacentral:rRNA from 1 species